rnacentral:lncRNA from 1 species
GGUACUGAUACUCCAGCUCAGACAAACGGGGUACUGAUACUCCAGCUCAGACAAACAGGGUACUGAUACUCAGCUCAGACAAACGGGUACUGAUACUCAGCUCAGAAACAGGGUACUAUACUCCAGCUCAGACAAACAGGGUACUGAUACUCCAGCUCAGACAAACAUUCAGAUGUACGGAACUGCCUCUGUUGUUUUUCCAUCGUGACAAAGUUAAAGAGCGUCUCCUUUCAGUCUAUAGAUAGUCAGAACAGAAGGUAUCCAGGUUUAGAUGUCCAGGUGGAUGAAACAGAGUGACUAUUGGCACAGCUUCCUGUCAUUUGAGCCAGGUGGUUAGGGGUGUGUGUGUGUGUUUAUUUAUGGUGUGUGUGUUGCGGCCACUACCUAUCCUGCCAGCCGGCCCUCUGACCGCUGGAGCAGUCUCGAGAGCACAGUGGAAUUGGUCGUGAGCCACGCCUCUAACAGCUUCACUGGUCAACUCUCUUUCAUGUGGCCUCCCUCUGACCUGUUCAACGUCUGUUCCUUCUAUAUCUACCGACUGAUCUGUUCCCUCUAGAUGUCCCGACUGAUCUGUUCCUCUGAUGUACCCGACUGAUCUGUCCCUCUAGAUGUACCCGACUGAUCUGUUCCCUCUAGAUGUACCCGACUGAUCUGUUCCUCUAGUGUACCCGACUGAUUGUUCCCUCUAGAUGUACCCGACUGAUCUGUUCCCUCUAGAUGUACCCGACUGAUCUGUUCCCUCUAGAUGUACCCGACUUAUCUGUCCCUCUGAUGUACCGCCUGAUCUGUUCCCUCUAGAUGUACCCGAACUGUCUGUUCCCUCUAGAUUACCCGACUGAUCUGUUCCCUCUAGAUGUACCCGACUGAUCUGUCCCUCUAGAUGUACCCGACUGAUCUGUUCCCUCUAGAUGUACCCGACUGAUCUGUUCCCUCUAGAUGUACCCGACUGAUCUGUUCCCUCUAGAUGUACCCGACUGAUCUGUUCCCUCUCGAUGUACCCAUGAUCUGUUCCCUCUGAUGUACUGACUGAUCUGUUCCUUUAGAUACCUGACUGAUCGGUUCCUUCUAGAUCUACCUGACUGAUUACUUUGAUUAAGGCACGAUUGAGCAAGAAUCAGUCGGCUUUACUGCCUUAAAUUGAAUUCUCCCUGGCUCAUGAUGUCUGAUUCAUGGUGUCUUGUAACCUGCCACCAUGAAUGAACGUGACUGCUGCAUCUCCCAGUCAUGUGUCAGUGUCUCCAUAGGAC